CCGGGCCGACCGGGCGGAGGCACCAUGCAGGCGCGGCGCUUGGCCAAGCGCUCCAGCAUGGGCAGCCGGCGGUUGAGCGCGGCGGCGGCGCAGGUGGACGCGGUCCGGCCCCCCAAGCCCGAGAGCGCCUGGAGGCCGCCCCGGCGGGAGGGCUCCGCCGCGGCGCUGGAGGAAGAGGACGAAGACGAGGACGUGGUGGUUGAGGUGGAGGAGGAAGAGGAGGAGGAGGAGGGCGGCCCGGGGAGCGCCCCCCCGGCGCUAGCCGGCCACGGCAAGGGCCCCCUCCGGGGGAGCCUCAAGGCAGCCAACAUCAAGCGUGAAAUGACCUUCCCUGCAUUUCAACAGGAGGAUGUGAAAAGUGACAUCAGUCGAAAACUGCCAGACCAACAGUUUCUCCUGUUCACCACAAAGGAGGAAGAUUUAAAAACAGCAGAGACCAAAAAACUAAACAGAGCUCCUGAGUAUGAAAAGGAAAACACUCGUUCUGUUUGUCUUCUGGAACAGAAGCGCAAGGUUGUUUCUUCAAAUAUUGAUGUGCCUCCAGCAAGGAAAUCUCCAGAAGAACUGGACAUGGAUAAAGUAACAGCAGCCAUGGUACUCACCAGUUUAUCCACCAGCCCUUUGGUCCGCAGCCCUCCUGUCCGACCCAAUGAAUCCCUGAAUGGAUCUUGGAAAGAAGGAGGAUUUGUGCCUUCUAGUACCAGCAGCAGUGGAUACUGGAGCUGGAAUGCUCCCAGUGACCAGUCCAACCCAUCCACCCCAUCUCCACCUCUGUCAGCUGAUAGCUUCAAAGCUUUUCGGACACCUUCCCAGCCAGAUGAUGGUAUUGAUGAAGGUGAAACAAGCAACCUUCUCUUUGAUGAACCCAUUCCUAGGAAGAGAAAGAACUCCAUGAAGGUGAUGUUCAAAUGCCUGUGGAAGAACUGUGGGAAGGUACUGAGCACAGCUGCAGGGAUUCAGAAACACAUACGGACCAUUCACCUUGGACGUGUAGGAGAGUCUGACUACAGUGAUGGAGAGGAGGAUUUUUACUAUACAGAAAUCAGGCUCAACACGGACUCAGUAGCUGAUGGCUUAAGCAGUCUUUCUCCAGUCUCUCCAUCUUUAGCAUCUCCUCCUUCCUUUCCCACCCAAGACACAAUCCGUCCUGAAACUUCCUGUGCCAAAACCGAGACUAAAUUGAUGACACCUCUGAGCUGCUCAGCUCCUACCAACCUCUACCUCGUACACACAGACCAUGCUUACCAGGCCACUCCUCCGGUGAACAUUCCAGGGUCAGCAAAAUUCACUCCCAAUGGCAGUAGCUUUAGCAUCUCCUGGCAGUCGCCUCCAGUUACCUUCACCGGCAUUCCAGUCUCACCAACCCAUAAUCGUCCUGCAGGGAGUGGAGAGCAGAAACAGUCCCACACAGUUCUUUCAUCACCGCCUAGAGUAGCAUUUGGCUUGAGGAAGCCUAGAGGGGAGGGGAAAAAGUGUCGGAAAGUCUAUGGGAUGGAGAACAGAGAUAUGUGGUGCACUGCCUGCCGAUGGAAGAAAGCCUGCCAAAGGAGAAAAGCAAAGUCUGAUUUUGCAAGAAGGACAAGCAGCAUUCCAGGAAGAUGUUUAAACGAGGCACAGACCAGUGGAGUGGAACAAAGUAAUUUAAGUACCAAAUUGGAUUUUGAUCCUCUGGAGGAAGAAGAGCAGCAAUGGCAAGUCACCAGCAGAUACUGUCAAGAGAAUUUUGAGGGAAGAAAUCGGUGAUGCUUGAUUGAAACUCACAAGAAUACAAGGGGGCUCCAGUAGCUUUUCUUACUAUUCUCCCCUUUCUGAGGGGGGGUGAACAGUUGGACCAGCACAGCUGUUGCUGCAGGAGGUCUGUGAAGAACUCGUAAAUGCAGCCACUAGGAUUAUAUGUAAUACCUAAUUCAGGGACAUGAUCCAGCCCAGCAGUUCUGCUUUUGCUUCCCUUUCUCUUAUUUGAGAGAUUGUUGUUAAGAUAAUGGUUUGUUCAGCUUUUACUUUGAAAGCUACUAAGAUUGAUUUGAAGCAAAAAAUUGGUAGAGAAAAGAAAAUACCCCCUUCCCACAACAUCAUCUCAGAAAAAGAAGUACAACAGCAAAGGAGCAACAUAUUUGUGAUGGGAGCAGCCUUUCUUUGCAUCCAUAUGGAGCUGGAAAAUCUUCAAGAUUGCGAAACAGCCGAUGUACACCUAUACUUGAGAGUGCCCACUUGAACUGCUCGUUCCAUCUUGAACUACAGUGCUUUCCCUCUGACCGUGCUCUCAGUUCUAUCCAAAUGCAGGAAUUAAGGAGGUGUGUGUCUUCACUUGCAACUUUCUGAGUUUAUUCCUCAAUAUAGAAAACACUCAUCAUGUUCUUUGUGCUUCACGCAGGCCACUUGUAACAGCAAUGCAGAAAGACCCUGCGAACAGAAGUCAGCCUGUUUCUGAUGGCACCAGGCAGAAGAAAGUACAGGUUGCUCUGGUGCUUGCUCACACUCACAGCAAGAAUUCGUUCAGUUGAUGAAAUAGAAGGGAAUAGAUAAAUUUAUUAACAAGCCAGUGUUCUUGUGGUUUUGGACACAACACCUAUAAUGUUUCUCCUCCUGUGUUUGAAUCUGAAUGUGGGAUCUCUAAUGCACCCUUGAGGGAAAUAAAAUGAGCAAUGUAAAUGCUCUUUCAGCAUUAAAUCUGAAUUCUUUGUGUAAUUAAAAUCUAAAGAUGGACUUGAACAUUCUAAAAUGUUUGAGUGUUGGUAUUUACUGUUUGCCAGUCCUCUUAGGGAUUCAGGUUUGAUUCUGGAGUCCUUAUCGUAGUAUGUGAUACCCAGUAUCGAUUAGUACGUGAUGUGUAAUGGCAAUGGCCAGAUAAACAAAAGUUACUAAAAACUUGUUGUUUGUUAAAAACUGCCUCUGGAAGACAGGAAAAAAGAAAAUAGUUAAUAGAGAUUUCCUCAGGGAAUGUGAGAGGGCUGUAAAGGCAGGAUGCAAGUUUAUUUGAAUGGAAGAUGGCUAAGAAAAUGAUUUUUUUUUUUCUAUUUUAGGCAAAAUUAAAAGAGCAAUAUUUCACUACUUGAAUUCUUAAAAUUAGAAUGAAGCACUAAUCGAUGAACAUGAUCUUAAUGCUGUAGCUUAGGAAGUUCCGAAUAAAAAAAAAUAUAUAAAAAUACAGAAAAUUAGCUUGAACCAUAACCUAAUUUUAAUGUAAAUCUAUACAUUUGUGUAAAUCUUUUCAGGAUCUACUGUAAAUAUAAAGGCUUCUUGUCUAUAAAGUUGCUUGGUCAAAACAUGCUUUGUCUAUAAUUGAAUUACUUCUUACCAAAUGACUACAGCAAGCAAAAAAGCAGUAUGUUAGCAUAAUAUCCUGGAGAGUUGUGUGUUGCACUUUGCAAAGGGCUAAUUCUACAUGAACUUAAAACAUGUCACUGCAUAUUUUUUGUUAUAUCUGCAAAGGUAUCAGCUUCAGUAAACCCAAGGUUUUGAGCCGUGCUAUCUAGGAUUUUGAAAUUUUGCAAGUUUUGCAAAUUCUCAAUUUUGCUUUAUUUUUACCCAGAAAAAUGCUAUUGGAUCCAUAAUAAUUUUUUCCUAUCAACCCUUUUUCCUGUGUCCAGGCACUCUGUUUUGCAGCUUCCCAAAUGUGUAUACUGAAGUGAAUAAAAAUCAGCAUCUUCAGUAUUAGGACCUACAAAUGUAAAUAGCAUUUACAUCGUAUCAGAAUUUUUAGUAUCAGUGUUUAACUGUGGUAAUUAAUUCUUAAAAUGAUGCCAACAAAUCUUGCAGGGAGGAGGAGCACAUAGUCUAUAAAUUAGGAAGUAUGACUGCACAGAUGAAGAACUGCUGGUAUUACAAGAAUAAAAUGUAGGCUUCGGUUCAUCAGAGCACUCGAGUAUGUGUUUACCUCCACUUGUGGAGUUUCUUGAUGAGACUCCUUGUGUUUCUGAAGUUUGGCACACAGUUUUGAGCUCCUCUGAAAUCAGGCCUUGGCAAGAGCAGAUACUCCUAUAGCUUUGUCUGAAAUACACACUUUGUGAGACAAUCUACCUUUUCCUGGGUUUAUGCAAUUUAUCUUGUGUUUAGAAGACCAGACAAAUUUAGAGAAUUCUUUUUUUAUUACAAUUUUUUGCAUUGCAAAAGGGAAGGUAAGAAAGAGACAAGCUCAGCUGUACGUUUCAUCAUGUGAAAGCAUUGGUUAAGUUUGUAAAAGAUGUGUAUUUGACAUCAAGCUCAAAGAAGCUUACUUGAUUACAUUGAAAAAAAGAUGCAUGAUAAGCAGAUUAUAUUAAACAAAUUUCUCUUGUUCCAUCUGUAUUCCCUGUACACUCAACACUCCUCCAGGCAACUGGAGGCAUAGGAGCUCUGAGUAUGCAAGGAAAUAAGUGAGUUUACUUAAAAACUUUAGGAAUACUAUGUUUUUAAGCCACAAAUGAUGUUGCCUAUGUGUAGUUUUUUAGUAUUAGAAGAAAAUAGACAGUAGCCUUAUUAACCAGGUGCAAUACUUACAAAGGGCUAAAUUAGGGAAACAAGUGAUGUGUGUCUGUACAUCACUGCAAAUGUGCACUCUCUGAAAACUGACUUUUAUGGCACUGCGAUCUUAAUACCUCUCUGAAAUGAUAAUGUUGGUAUAAUUUUAUGACUGUUUAUAAUACAUUAUGAAACAGGAUUUGGGAAUUCCUGAGAACCAAAAGGAGGAGGGGGAAAUUGUAAAUCACAUAGACUAAUGGUAUGUUAUUUUACAUGACAAAAGUAAACUAAAACACCUUUACAAAGCCAUACAAAUUCUGGAUUAUUGAAAGAAAAAAAUCUACUCCCCUUGGUUACAGAGAUAGUUUAGUCUGAAAUUUCCUUUGAUUUGUUUCUUGCAUUUUCUCAAAGGUUUGGGUUUGGUUUGGGGUUUUUUUUGUAUUCUGAUGGUGAAAACAUUCCUAAAUUACCAGUAUUUGGCUUAAAUGGUAUUAUUUUGAAAAAAAUACUUUUAAAAUUGAGUUCUUCAUGAUACUGUACAGUUUGAAUGAGAUCAUGCAACAUGAUCUGCUCCAGCUUAAGUAGAGAGUUCAUACAAGCAGAAGAUUGUAGGAAAAGAUUGCACUGAGGAUUCAUUGUUCAGUCACGAGAAAGAUCUGAAUGAUCAGACUAAAAGCUCCACUCACGUAUUUCUUCUCUCUAUCUGCACUGCAGGGUUGAUGGUAAUACAGGCUGCCAAGUACAGUGUAUCUGGCUAUCUCACCCCUGUUUGGGGUUUUUUUUUGCUGAUAAAUAAUGAAAUACACAUAAUCUUCCCGUCUAUCUCUCUUCCUGUUUUUGUCUUGUGCUCUGAGUCCAGAAUUAGCUGAAAGACAGAAAUAAUCAGGUCUGUUGAGCAGAGGUUGUUUGGUUCUUUCCCUGUUUGACUGACUUCUAACAAAGGGCCAAAGUACAAACGCAGAGACGUUAGUCAAAAGAGGCUUCUUCCAGUCAGGCAAGACCUGAGGAAAAUUGCUCAGAUUUGGAUCCCAGUAUGAGGAAAGUAGUCUUAAGCAGUCAGUUACAGAAGUUCUGUGGUUGAUUUUUGGUGUUUGGGGCUUUUUUGGUAAAUUACAAGUCUGAUAAAAAGUCUUACUGCACAAUUAAGAGCAGAAUGCAGAUCUCAUUGUAAUGAGCUGAGCCCUUGAAGCAGUACAGGUUUUCUCAGGAGAGUUCCAAUUAUUCCCGUGAAUGAUUUCAUUGACAUGGGCUGCUGACACAGGUAAUGGUUGUAGAACAAAGGCACAUGGGUUUUCCUCUGUGAGCUUUCUGCUGGAAUUGGGAGUGUGAAAUUGGGAAUCUCCCUUUCUGAGGGCUUGAGAAUUGUGCAUUUGGCUUUGUGAGAGGGAUGGAUACAGUGCCGGGCUCUUGAAAGAGUUUCUAGCAAUACCAGAGGGGCAGUACUCUGGAUGUGUUACUUAGUGACAAAUUUAGGAGCUGUUAGGCAGGUGGUAUUCAGCCUGUAAUUGUCCUAUUGAUACCAGCCCCAGGGAGAAGGGGGUUUCUCAGUAUGGGAUCCAGGCAGCCAGCCUGUGUGAAGUGAGUCACCGCCAUAAUCUGUGUGAUGUUGGCUCAAGUGCUGCCUUGCUGUGUCCAGCUUGAGGGAGGUUGGUUAUCUGCAUGCAUUCGUGACAUGUUCAUAGUACAGAACACUCUUUCGAAGAGAGAGAAUCUCUUUUUCAGUGAUUAAAAUAAAACUAUGGUAUAACUUUUAUGUUGCAGAAGGUCACUGAGUAAGCCACAGCACUGUCAGACUUUGAAUCAGACAUAGUUGUUUCCCUCCUUCCAGAGCCAUGCUGCAUCUCCUGUGGGGGCUCUCACCGAGCCCUGUAACCUUAACCAAGUUUUUCCCAAAGAUUUUCUGGAACGCAGCACUGAGCCCUAAACCAAGUUUGACCCCCAGGUAAAGGAAGCUCUUUCCAACUCUUUCCCAACUCUUAGACUUCCUAAAUUAGUGUUUUAUUAGUAGACCUUUAUAAAGGGGACAUUGCCCCAUGACUUUCCUUUGGCAUUUCUAACACGGCACCAUCCAGUGCUGCGUUUGCAAGGAGCCAGACAUUAUCUUGGUCAGUCAUGGGGUUUGGCAUUUUUUACAUUUAGACCACUGCAUUUUGCCUCACACUGUAGUUCCACAGCAGGUUAUGGUGACAUAAGCUUGUGCUACUGUUGAAAAAGUUCUUUCUACCCCCAGCAGAGAUAUUUCCAGAGAGAAGUCUCCUGAGUUGUGCUGGCUUGAUCCAGUCCUGUAAGUGUAGGUCUGUAUAAAAUGCUAGAUAGCUUACGGCCUGCUGGGUUUGUGCCUCUGCUCUUUCAUGUGGCAGGCAUGGUAAUACUGUCUUUAUCCCACUCUGUCUUGUCUGGAGUCUCAUUAAGGACCUGAACUUGCACAUACUCCUACAGCAGCAAGCUCAGGAGAGCUCCACUUACGGCUGGAGGCAUUGAUUUUGAUAUGAAAUGAAAUAUAUAAUGGAAAAGAGAGGAGUUAGAUCAAUAAUUGUACGUGCAAUGAGUCUUAAAACUACAUCUUAACUGCACCAUGGUUUUGCUAAGCAGAUAUUGGAGGAAUUAAAGGACAUGAAAAACAACCUUACUGGACCUUGCUCCUCCCUGAACCAGUCUGGAAUUAUUCACAGUAGUCUCAGGACCUGCAAGGUUCAUUAAGGGGCUGGGAAGUCAUGACCUCUGUAGGUCUCUGGGCUACAGGGAACCGGGGUACACUUCUUACCCAGACAUGGUAGCAAACAGGAAAGGUCCUCAGCUGCUUUGCUAGUGCAGUUUUUCGUCCUCUUUUUUAUUACGGCAUCAAUUUAAUAGUGAUGGGAAUGCUGGGCAAAAGGUAAAGGGUCAUCAGGUAACUGAAGAAAGAGGACCAUCAGCAUCAAUUGCACUGUGGGGUUUUUUAACUCUCUGAAAAAACAAGCAUGUUUUCUUGUCCCCUGUUACUCAUAUUAUCUCAUGUAAGAAAAGUAUUUCCAUCAUAGAAAGGGAGUGAAUUUAGCACAGGGUAAGCAGCUGUAGGGAACUAAAAACCCAGUUGCCCAGUUUUUAUGAGUAGGGGAUUUCUAAUACAUUCUGCUUGCAGUAGACUGCAGUAUUUAGAUCUACACAUCCUUUUAUCUUGCUUCAGUCACAAAAGAGCCCACAUACAUUGUUCUUCCUUUGUUUCCUAUCAAAUCUUGUUUCAGAGAGUAUAAAGUAAAUUUCUUUUUUAAAAACCAAUUUUUUCUGAAUUAUUUUUAGAACCAGAACAUUUCCUCUUUGACUUCAGUAUAAAAUUACUGAGCUUUAAGUUGCUCUGCAUUGCACUUUAUAUGUUUUUUUCACUUUCUGGGCCAUGUAUUUUUGAUACACAAAACAGUAAAGGUUUUAUUUAUCUAGUUUUAACUUGAAAUUAACCAUGAAACUAAGAUGCUUUUAUAAAAAUGCAAGUUCCAUAAAAUACAGUAAUUAAUCUCUUUGGGUCAGAGACAUUUUUUAAUGAUACAUGGAGAAAUACUAUAGCUUCUGAAAUUAUUUAUCAUUUUGUAAGUUCAAUACAUUAAUGGAUAUCACGGUUUAAAGUGGAAUGUGAAUAAGGAGGAGGCAAAGUUCUAGACAGUAGAUUUCCUUAUAUGCAAAACCUACAUUAGUUUAAUUGGUAAGGGUUUAAAAAAAUAGCCUUAUCUAGUUUAAAGAAGUGUAAAACUGUUUAACAGGCAAGUUUAAAAUGCCAAGAGCUCAUAGAAGUUUGGAAAUGAGUUUAACAGAAGCAGCCAGGAGCUGUGUUUUUCCCCAUGCUGGCACAGCACUGUGCAGUGGGCAGCCUGCGAAGCCCCUGGGCUCUGCAGGGGCUGAACUCAUGCCAGUACAAGGCACCCGCUGAAGCUGUAGGAGAGUAUGGAUUUUCCUGCUUUAAACAGCACCUCUCCAAACCUGCAGGCCCACUGCCAGGUUGGAAAUAGUAUUUCCAUUUGGUUUUUCCUGACUUUGUCCCCACUAGUUUUGGGAACUAGUGUCCUAAAGACAAUCCUCUUGUUCCUAAGUGAGUGGAUGAACUCGUCUUCCCCCUGGUUUUGGUGUUAAGCUUACAGCACUCACACUAUUGCACGUAGUUUAUCUUAAUUUGUAGAUGCCAGUUCCACCAUUGUAAACAAAGAAUGUCUACUCUGCCCCAGCACAGAAUCCUUUUAAAUUUUGUGGAGUAUGUGGAAAAAUAAAGACCAAUUUGACUUUCACUUUGACCAAACUCUUUAUUCCUCCAUCCUUGCAAAAGCUCCUAGUUGGCCACCUCCCAGGGAGCCCAGUUCCUUUUCAGAGGCUGCCAGACAUUCUGAUCAUUUCUACAUCCAUAGGUAAAAGCUGCUCAAAUAGCCUGGGUAUAGUUUUCACCUUGGACUGCAAAUGUGUCACCUUGCCAUUUGUCCUUCCAGGGACCACCGGGAGUCCCUGGAGCAAGGCAAGUGCACUGCCAGUGUUGUGCAAACCUUGUGCUUCGCAUCAGUGAUAGCUGUGCUGAGGAGAAGCAUGGACUGAUGGCACCUGUCCAUCCUACCAGAGACGUGAGGGCUGCACAGCAUGGCUCAGCUCUUGGAAUUACAGGGAAAAUUAAGCUUAAAACCUUUAUAGUAAGCGCUGGGUGUCUCUGAAAACUCAGUCCAUGUUCAGCUGAGGAACAAGAGCAGUGGCAGGCCCUCUCCAAGGUCGUGCUCUGUCAGCACAAGAAACAGCUCCGUGGCCCAAGUGGUUGCUGUAUUUCCAUGUAUGUUUGAAGGAAGGCUUAGGAAGGAGGACUUGUAGAUGCUAUUCCUUUGCAGUCUGGUUUGAUUCUGCCCUCUGGGGGCAGCCUGUGGGCCGGCGCAGCACAUUUAAAUCAGGGGCUUCCACUGACAGUGACUUGGACAUAGCAAAAAAACUGUUUCUUAUAAGAAGCAGAUGAUUUUAUCUUUCUUACAACAUCAAAACCACAAAAUGCCACCGUGCACACCUUUGUCAAACUCUCACAGUCCCCUGUAGCACCAGCAGCUGGGGAGAACUCGAGAAUUCAGAGGACCUUGGCCAUAACUCUUCAAAAAGCCUCUGCAGUCCACUGAAAAUAAUUUAGUGCUGGAUCAAAGCCACACAGACUUGGGCCCUCCAAAACUCUGAGAAUUUUGCUGUUAUUUCGCAUUAAAAAAAGUGUUAAAAUCUUUGUGUCAGCAUAUGAGUCAAUUCUGCCUGCUGAACCAAGAGUACUUCCAAUGGACUUCAGAUAUCUAGGGAAUCAUUCUCAGUACAAGUCAGGACACUCCAAACAUUUCAGUUGUUUUUCUUAAAUUAACAUUUGCAAAAUUAGCAGUGUGCAUAGUAAUGCCUAAAAGUCGAUGAAAAUAAUUGAAUGACUACUGAAUUCCUGAUUUGCUAAGCACAAGCUUCUGAGUUUUAUUAACACACAAAACCAGCUUUGUACAGAGUAAUUUUUAAAAAUAGAGAAGGUUUGUUUUUUUCUCAAGUUACUCAAGCAGUUCAGGUAAUAAAUAAUUUGUUUCUGGUCAAUGCAUUUUACAGUGAGCAAAUCUCAUCUUCUUGCACUUCUAAUAUUCAUUGCUUGUAUGGAAAAAAAAUCUUCACUACUUUUCCAUUUCCCAGUGAAUGAUUGGUUCACUAAGCAACAGGCCAUUGCUGUUGCAAUUCUUGACUUCAGAUUGCAGAAUAUGCUUAGGUAACUUUAGUCUUGUUCAUAUGAGUCCUGGUUAUCUGAUUAUUACUCUUUUUCAAGCUUCAAAAAUGCUUUUGUGUAGUUUCCAUAGAUACGGUUGAGUAAAAGUUGCAAGGAAGAAUCUAAGUCAAAUGCUAAGUAAAAAUCAAGUAUGUGAAACAAACAUGAAGAUAAAGUAUAAUGAGCAAAGUCAAUCCAUUGCUGAAUUAAAUGUUUAUAGAACAUGUUGAUUAGCAGAAAGUAGUGAUCUUUGUUGAAGUUACAUUUAGCAGCAGACCACUGUGUUUUAGUGUCACAAGUGACAAAGCAAUUUUUCCUCAGAAAAAGUGCAAAUGGAAAACAACAUUAAAAUAGAUCGUUUAGACCAAGAUUUUUUCAAUUUAAGCCCAUCCUGCCUGGUACAUUACUGUUGUAUGUUCAGGGAUGCUCAGGACAACAGACAUUCCUCAUAGGAAGCAGCUAGGUUCCAAAGUGUCAACUAAAUGAAAGGAAAGUGAGCAAACUCAUAGGAUUUUCUCAGUACUAGCUCAGCUAUUGCAAAAAAAGACCAAAAAACCCAAAACAGCAAAAAAGCACUACUCACUACUACUGAACUAGAAUUUCAGCAGUUUAAAAGAACCAUGCUUUGAUCUAGUUCACGCACCAUAGCUAAACCCAGGUUUCUGUUGAUUUGCUUGUUUGUCUUAUGGGGCUUUUACUUCUUAACGAUCCUCAAAGCAGGGUCUAUCAUUACUGAGAUGACCACGGUUGAAUAGAAGUCUCUUGAAAUCCUGAAGUACAUGAUUAGAGAAACAACAGACUUGAAAUGGAAAACUAGUUAAAAUUAUCCCAAAAAAGCAAAAAGAAAAGUUAAUUCUCUUGUUUGGGAAAUGCCAUUCAGCUACCAUUGACUCCCAGGCUGUGUGUUUAACUGACAUCAUGUAGCUUUGUCAGCUCACAUUUUUGUUAAAAGCAGAUGGUGAAUAAACUACAUAGCAAAGGACCUUCCUUUGGUCUUUGUAAAUGAAUGUAUACAUACAAACUAUGCAUUUUCACACAGCUGCAUACUGUAUCUUCACUCAGUUCAACCUUUCCCCUAGCUUAGAAACCCCCAGACUUCAGGAGCUGAAGGUGCUCCCAUCUCCUUUUGCAUAUAUUUGUCUCCUGUCUUGUUUCUGCUCUCCAAAAACCUUAGAUGCAGGACAGUGGAAUGCUGAGCUGCACAGCCCAAGGAGCAGAGUGGCUGGGGACCUGUGGCCAAGGCAGGGAUCUGCCAUGCUCUGGGAGACCACUUUGGGCUCCCAGGCCCAGCAUGGCCAAAGGCAGAGCCGUGGUAUUUGUGCUCCCUGUGCCAGACCUGCUCCGGCCCCAGCACCUCUUGCACUCUGGCUCGGCAUCCUGGGCGCUGGGGCAGCCGAGCAGGACGAGCAGCUGCUCUCACACGGGGUCAGGAGCAGUCUGCAGCCACACUCGGUCCAGCUGAGCCAGGGAGAGGCCACUGCCCCUGGGCUUGCAGACACCAUCCUCCCCCUUGGGACAGCCUUUCCAGCCACCCCAGCAGCCCCAUUUCCUUCUGACCAUCACUUCCCCACAGUGCCCUGCAGCACUUGUGAGGCAGGGAUGGCUCCUCAGGGGUUGUGGUCUCGCUGCUGAGACCUGCUGCCCCAGGUAAUGCAGUGCUCAAAAUGCUCCGCCCUUCAUCCUAAUCACUGGUGGACUUCGGGGCUGGGAUGUGCAAGGGACGAAGGAUCAGAGCUUGGGUUUAGUGUACCUUCUGCUGGAAGGGAGCAGGAAAGAUGGCAAAUGGAUGUCUUGUUCUUGUAGCUGGUAUAAUUAUAUAAAGGAAAAAGAUACUGCAUGCAACAUUUCUUACUUAAAUUUUGGGUUGUUGCUAAAAUGUACAUCAGCCCAGUCUACUCAAUGAAUGAAGUGUGUUUCUUAUGCGUUAUCCUACAGGAAGAAAGACCAAAAAAGUAGAAGUAAUAAGAAUAUCCUUGCUUUAGAAUAAAGCAAGCAUGGACUCAACAACGAAGAAAGAUUUUGUUUAUAUGCAAACUGUUGAAAUAUUUGAUAACAGUAUGAAGGCAGUCAUAUUCUUAUGUAUCCAGAGAUUUGCACUCAUCUAGGUUAUGUUUAAUUGAAAAAAUAUUUUUGCAUUAUGUAUUUGUGUUUGAGGGGCUAAGUCUUUAAUUUUAUAUUCUUUACAAGAAUUAGUGUGGCAAUUGCGUUUUUCCAUUUACUGAGCUACCUGCCCAUGCUAGCUGUUCAUUUGCAUAAAGAAUAUUUCCACUACUUCAGAGGUUUUUGGAUUGUUGGAUUGUUGUUUUCAAAGGGAGCCUGCCCCAGAGGGUUCCACAGGGUUGUCCAGUGUGAGUGGGAGGCUCUCUGGAGCAGGGGGUCACCCUUACCAGGACGUGGCCUGGCACUGCAACAGACACACACGGAUUCAUUGCCCUGCAAUCUGCAACUGCCCGGUGGGCCUGGGGUAGCUCCAGCUGCAGUCCCUCAAAUCAAAGCUCUGACUGACUCUGUCAGUCCUUCGCUGUCACUUACUAUCACAAAGUUAACUUUUUACAACGAGAAAGAGCUUCCAACUCUGGCACUGAUGGAAAUACUGAAUACUUUUAAUAUAUAUAUAUAUAUAUAUAUUUGGAAAGUAUUUGAACAAAGUGUUUUGUCUUUUUUUAUACAACUUUUAGCCAAAUAGAAGAAUUCUGAUUAUUACUUCUGUGGAUACCUGUCCACCUGUAAAUAAACUCAUAUAUUCAGGUACAUGAACCUGAAGAGAAAAAAUAAUAAAGACUGUUCAGGGGCUAUGCGCUUUGCUAGCUCCUGGUUCCUUUGUACAUAAGAGGUAACUGUUUAAAUGUUGGGUGGGUUUUUUAAAUUUACUUGUUGUUCCUCUAAAGAAAGAAGAAGAAAAAAAACUUUUGACUUUGUUUUCUCUUUUCUGAGUUAAUACAAAGAUUUUCUAACUUUUUACUGCAGAAAUGGAUAAAUACCUGGUGCUAAGUGAACGUGAGUCAAACUGGCCAUAGCAGACACACCGGUUAGAAUGCACUUUUCCUGUGGCACACAAUGUAUUUUCUCAGAAGGGACUUUCAAAGGACUGUCAGAUGUUUACAUUUCUUCUUGUUGCCCCAAAUAGUUUUGAAUAUUCAAAUAACUUCCAAAAAUAAAGUCAUGGUCCAUUACUGAUGCGACAAAUCCUUACAUUUAAGUAUCUACAACAGCUUUGUACAAAUACCAUUUUAGAGAUAGUUGAAAUAUUGGGCUUUCAUACUUUGUAAUGCUUUGAUGUGACAAUAAAUAUGCUGUUGCUAUCUAGUCUAACCUCAUUGUAGACCUGUAACUCCCUGUUUCUGGUUAUGUUAUGAAUUGCACUGGCUUGAAUUCAGCCAAAUACUGACUGUUCAGCUGAAAUAUUCCGACUGUUAUGAUGUCCACGAAACAUUAAUUAAAUGCACUUGUAUCUGACUACCAUGGAGUAUGUCAAAUUAUUCAUGUAAUAAAUCCCUUGUGUAUAACUUU